UGUACUAAUUAUACACCGCGGGGGAGUAAUUAUUAAUACGAAGCUAAGGAUUUGUUCUAUGGUCCGAAGAAGCUCGAGGGAUUGUCCCAUUUUUCUCCCACUGCCGCCGCUGCUUCGCUGCCAUCGGCAGAAAGAGACGCUGUAGAGGCAGAUCGGGGGAGGAGAUGGUGGGCGUGAAGUGAGCCAUUGGGGGCGGACGAGUGCGUCGCGAGUGAGGUCAUCGCAAGGGCUUCCUUGGUCUGCUCGCCGUCCGUGGAUUUUUCCCGCUGGCUUUUAGGGUUCCCCUGCGCUUUCCCCUCCCCAUGCGAUCGCUUCGUUCCCGAGGGAUCCAAGUACUGAAGCCCUAACUCUGCCCCCAUUCCUGGAUCGAGAUCGAGAGCGGGUGGGUCUUCCUUGUUCUUCGCUCUGGCGGGGAUCAGGGGCACGCUCGCCCUCGUCCUGGUGUCCGCGCUCGCCCGCCUUGCCGAUCUCUUCGAUUUCAAGACCCGAAGGCGCCGCCGGCGUAGGGGCUGUGGCCGGCGGGGCGGUGGAACCAUGCUCUGGGUUGCCCGCCUCUCCGGCCUGUGCUCCCUCGCCAUGGUCAUGGUAGUGCUGUCCCCUUCCCUCCAAUCCUUCCCCCCUGCCGAGGCUAUCCGGUCGUCUCAUUACCUCCGCAUCCCCGCCGGCGGCGGCGGCUACAACCACCACCUUGCCGCGGCAUCCGGCGACGCCGAAAGCCUCGUGUUUCGGAGGGCGCCGCGAUUCCACAAUGCCGCCGAGUGCGAGCCCCCGUCGGCGAACGGAACCUCGGUCUGCGACCCCUCGCUGGUGCACAUCGCCAUCACCCUCGACGAGGAGUACCUGCGCGGCUCGAUAGCGGCGGUCCACUCGGUGCUCACCCACGCUCGGUGCCCGGAGAACGUUUUCUUCCACUUGCUACUGUCGGAGCCGGGCCUGGAGUCGGUGGUGAGGUCCGCCUUCCCGGGCCUCCGCUUCAAGGCGUACUACUUUGACCCCGACCGGGUCCGGGCGCUCAUCUCUACGUCGGUGCGGCAGGCACUGGAGCAGCCGCUCAACUACGCCCGUAACUACCUGGGGGACAUCCUUGAGCGGUGCGUUAACCGGGUGAUCUACCUCGACUCCGACCUGGUGGUGGUUGACGACAUCGGCAAGCUAUGGCGGACACGGCUGGGGUCGCGGGCCGUAGGCGCACCAGAGUACUGCCACGCUAACUUCACCAAGUACUUCACCGACCGGUUCUGGUCCGACCAUCGCCUCGCGGCCACGUUCGCCGGCCGCCGGCCGUGCUACUUCAACACGGGGGUGAUGGUGCUGGACCUGGUCCGGUGGCGGCGCGCCGGUUACACGCGCAGGAUCGAGAGAUGGAUGGAGGUGCAGAAAAGCGGUGCCGCCCCCAGCGGUGCCGGCCGUAUCUACGAGCUGGGGUCCCUACCGCCCUUCCUGCUAGUGUUCGCCGGCCACGUUGCACCGAUCGAGCACCGGUGGAACCAACACGGCCUGGGCGGGGACAACGCCAGAGGCAGCUGCCGGGACCUCCACCCAGGGCACGUGAGCCUUCUCCACUGGAGCGGUAGCGGCAAGCCAUGGGUGCGGCUCGACUCGAAACGGCCGUGCCCGCUCGACCACCUCUGGGCUCCCUACGACCUAUACGGCCCCGCUGACGCUUGACGCCGCUGCCCCCAGCCGAAAUCCAGAAAAAAAAGGUAAAUCCUCGAGGCAAGAGAGGUGUGCAGAAGAAUAGGUGUCGAAGACCGGAGAGGUGGGGGCGCCGUGGCUCAACGUUCGCUGGCAGCAAAACGCCUGUGAAGCACCUCCCCAUAACGGUCUCAUCUUUGGCUCAUUCUUCUUCUCUCUCUCUUAUCUGAUCCUAAUCUUAUGUCAUUCUUCUGCUGCAUUCCUUUAAAUGAGUUAUCGAUCUAGUAGUGUGCACAGAGCCGAAGGGGCAGACGUCACCUCUCCGAUUUGGUCCUCGUCUUCUCCAGUUGGGUGUCGGUGGAUUUUGGACGAUAACGACGACUCCGUUUGCCUCUACUUUUGCGUUUUCUGUAACAGUUACUUUGAACUCGAGUAUGAUUUUUAACCUUAGAUCAUCUUUUAGCAACACUAUGGGUUUUGCUUUGGUGGGUGCCCGAAUCUGAUACAUGUUCUGAUGAGAGGGGGAAUCUGUCAUCCUUUGGGGUCAUGGAGGUCGGAGAGAAGUGAUAGAUAGACCAUUUGUCCCCGCUAGAUGUGGUCCUUGCACAGGAGAGAAGUCUAUGGGAUGUGGUGGAAAGAGUCUUCACUUCAUUCACUCACCUUGUUUGUUCAUUUAGCUGCAGAUGGGGAGUCAUACAUCACGAAGACGGAAAGUGAUCUCUGGGUUGAGGCUGAGAAGCGGUGUUCUUUGCGACACAACUCAAUCACUUCUCAAAUGGGGGGAAUGGUUGAUCGGAUUCAUAGUCCUUGAAUUGAUUCCAUCUCACUAACUUGGGGCCGGCAAAAGACAACCUUUCCAACAUAGUAACUCGUACCAGUCUUCAACCUCUUCCUCACACAGACCCCUUUACUCCACUGAACACAAACUAUUGCCUGCCUGCCUUGCCAUCACCAAGUUGGGCUCUAGAGCUUCAAUCCUCCCCACUGGUGUCUUCCAUUCGAAAUCUUGCCAUGGGAUUCUCUCUUUCCCCUGUCUUGAGUCAAUCUGACUUCACCGGAUCGAUCUUAAUGGAGGGGAGGAGGCUUUGGCUUUAGUUACAUCACUCUCUUUUGUCAUUACUGAUGCUACUGAUGCAAAGUGAAGGCAGGCUCUUCAACCUGCUGUCACGAAGGCGAGGAUAAAAGCUUAGAGAAUUAUGAAGAGAGAGAGAGAGGUGUCCCCACUUCUGCAGCUGUUGAUAGAAUCAAAAUCUAUGUCAUGGACCCAAUGACUUGCUCCAAUCAGUAUGGUCCAAACAUUUAUUUACCAGUGUCAGUAAAGUUUUCAUAAAAUAUGUCUGCAAAGGACUUGGUGCCGUGGUUCAGCAGCUUUAAGGCACAGCAGCUUCAAGUCAUAUAAAAUUAUCUUUCACGGUUGGUGAUUUCUUGAACAUUAAAUGUUCCAUGUCAAUUAUUUUGACCGGGGAAAUUUGAGUUUUGACUGCCCCAUUUGUUAGCGUCAUGUACUCUGAUGAUUGUCCGUAUAACUCCUUAAUGUCAAAUUUCUCAGUGGUUCCUCAUCC